AUUGAACGCUGGCGGCAGGCCUAACACAUGCAAGUCGAGCGAGCGGCGGACGGGUGAGUAAUGUAUGGGGACUUCCCGCUAGAGGUGGAUAAAUCCUGGAAACGGUAGCUAAUACCGCAUACUAUCGGAUAACCCAUAUGGGAUUAGCUAGUAGGUGAGGUAAUGGCUCACCUAGGCGACGAUCCCUAGCUGGUCUGAGAGGAUGAUCAGCCACACUGGGACUGAGAAACGGCCCAGACUCCGACGGAGGCAGCAGUGGGGAAUAUUGCACAAUGGGCGAAAGCCUGAUGGAGCAAUGCCGCGUGUGUGAAGAAGGCCUGAGGAUUGUAAAGUACUGUCAGUAGGGAGGCGGUACCGAAAGAAGAAGCACCGGCUAACUCCGUGCCAGCAGCCGCGGUAAUAC
rnacentral:rRNA from 1 species